UUCCGGUUGAUCCUGCCGGAAGUCACUGCUAUUGGGAUUCGACUAAGCCAUGCGAGUCGAGAGGGUUCGGCCCUCGGCUGACGGCUCAGUAACACGUGGAUAAUCUGCCCUAUGGUGGAGGAUAACCUCGGGAAACUGAGAAUAAUACUCCAUAGGCCUAGGAUGCUGGAAUGCACCUAGGCUCAAACUCCGGUGCCAUAGGAUGAGUCUGCGGACUAUCAGGUUGUAGUCAGGGUAAAGACCUGACUAGCCUACGACGGAUAUGGGUUGUGAGAGCAAUAACCCAGAGAUGAUAUCUGAGACACGAUAUCAGGCCCUACGGGGCGCAGCAGGCGCGAAAACUUCACAAUGUGCGAAAGCGCGAUGAGGGAAUCCCAAGUGCUUGCACGUAAGUGUAAGCUGUUUUUAUGUUUAAAACGCAUGGAGAGUAAGAGCUGGGUAAGACGGGUGCCAGCCGCCGCGGUAAUACCUGCAGCUCAAGUGGUGGCCACUGUUAUUGGGCCUAAAACGUCCGUAGCCUGUUUAAUAAAUGCCUGGGUAAAUCGUGUAGCUUAACUAUACGAAUUCCGGGUAGACUGUUAAACUUGAGACCGGGAGAAGUUAGAGGUACUCCUGGGGUAGAGGUGAAAUUCUGUAAUCCUAGGGGGACCACCAGUGGCGAAGGCGUCUGACUAGAACGGGUCUGACGGUGAGGGACGAAGCCCUGGGGCGCAAACCGGAUUAGAUACCCGGGUAGUCCAGGGUGUAAACGCUGCUUGCUUGAUGUUAGUCGGGCUCCGAGCCCGAUUAGUGUCGGAGAGAAGUUGUUAAGCAAGCUGCCUGGGAAGUACGGUCGCAAGGCUGACACUUAAAGGAAUUGGCGGGGGAGCACCACAAGGGGUGAAGCCUGCGGCUUCAGUGGAGUCAACGCCGGAA
rnacentral:rRNA from 1 species